UCUUAACUAUCUAUAUAAAUAGACUUUAAUCAUAAGAAUAUAAUAAUAUCAUGCAUUAUUAAUAUAAUUUAAUGUGAAUAGGUAUUCUUUUCAGAUGGCACAACAAAACUCAUUUGAGAAGUUGAAUUGAUAACAUUUUAAUACUCCUUCACAGAAUAUUAUUAUUAUUAUUAUUAUUAUUAUUAUUAUUAUUAUUAUUAUUAUUAUUAUUAUUAUUAUUAUUAUAUGAUAUGAUAUGAUAACCUCCAAGUC
rnacentral:lncRNA from 1 species